GGAGUAACGGACGUGGGUAACCGUACGCCUCAGUACAGGGGGAUAACAGUUAGAAAUGACUGCUAACACCGCAUAAUAUAGCGAAACCGCAUGAUUUUUGCUAUCAAAUAUUUAUAGGUAUGAGAUGGGCCCGCGUCUGAUUAGCUAGUUGGUGGGGUAAAAGCCUACCAAGGCGACGAUCAGUAGCCGGCUUGAGAGAGUGGCCGGCCACAUUGGGACUGAGACACGGCCCAAACUCCUACGGGAGGCAGCAGUGGGGAAUAUUGGACAAUGGGGGAAACCCUGAUCCAGCGACGCCCGCGUGAGUGAAGAAGUAUUUCGGUAUGUAAAGCUCUAUCAGCAGGGAAGAUAAUGACAGUACCUGACUAAGAAGCCCCGGCUAACUACGUGCCAGCAGCUGC
rnacentral:rRNA from 1 species